ACUGUAUCGUGGUGUUACGAAGGAUAUAGUGUGAGAGCACGUUAGAAACACGUCACGUGGUGACAACUUUAUUUGUAUCUGCGGGCCACAAACAGCUACGCUACUGCGCAUGCGUUAAGUACCACGGCUCCACGUGUUUCAACAGAAACAGAGCUUUACUGUGGAUUCGAAUGGCUUUGCAGCCACUAUAACCACUUGUAUACGUUCUAAACCUUUAGGCAAUGACGUACUCACAGAACGUUCGGAGCGUCGGGAAGUGAGUCCGCUAUGUGAGUCGUUUAUUUUCACUUCCACGUCCACCAGUUCAUCCUAUGGCUCAACUGGAAAUCGACUGGCAAACCAACGUGGCAGCUGGGCCGAGCUGACGCUGCUAGUUGCGAAGGAACUUUCGCGAGGACCGCGGUUUGUUACCCAUGGUUUUACCCAGUGGGCGGAGCUGACAAGUUAACUCUUACGUGACAGUGCACAGUUGCGUUGGGGUAUGUUCGGGUUUAUGGUGUAUGGAGCAUAAGCUUAGAUAUCAGUGAUUUUGUACAUAUCUCUUUUGAGACAACUAGCUAAACUGAUAACACAUAACUCAUCUUUGCAUUUAAUGUGUGAUGCUGUGAGAGCAACCUAUCUACUUUCAUUUGUUAUGACUUUUUUUUUUAAUUAUAUUCAUUUUUUCUUUAUUAGGCAGAUUAAGUGUCCUGGUCCACUCCUCAAGUGUAUUAAAUUCAUAGUUAUUAAAUGUAUCUGAACAGUGCAACAAAAUCAGACUCAAAUAAAAAAAUGUAUUUACUGGAUAUUUACAUAUACAUGGAUCAGUGUUGUCAGAGCUUUCAAGUCAUUAGCUCUUGACGUAAAAUAAAAGGAGUGCAGUCUGCCGUCUUUCAGCCAGGAGAGAAGAAGGUUGCACCUCCACUUUGUCGUCAUCGAAGGUGAGCCAGCGAGGAGUGUUGUCCUUCAGCUUGGUGUCGCAGCUGUAGUGGCCUGAAACAGCAGGAGCCAUGCAUUAGGAGGGGGAUCCAAACAUCCAACACACUUGUGAGACACGGUCAACUACCUUCAUGACUGGUGGAACCAAGGCGGUUGACAAUCGUCACCAGCUUGUAUUGAGCCUGAAACAAAAGAAUGAGUUAUAUUUAGAGAGUAGACACAUGAAGAAUAUGUCGGCGCCCUCACCUGUUCUUUGUGCAGCGUUGCCACCUGCAGGUCCUGGCAUAAAUGGACGGCUGUAUGAACCUUGAGGAACCGUCUUGAGGCCGUACGUCGGACCCGGCACAGGCUCAGGAUCAACACGCUGUAGAAACAUCAAAGGUCAGUUUAAAUCGAGUGUCGGAAAAAUGAUGCUACUUACUUUGGGAGAGUGCUGAAACACAAUCGAUCAGUCAGGUGACUCCCACAGCGCCUGCAUCGAACGUCUGCAGGCCUCUCCUGAAACGGAGGUUGAGACAUUGUUGUGUCUUUUAACUUGUCAGAUUGUGCAGGACAACUUACGUUCAGGACAUUUCCAAGAGCCUGACUCACUGAGUCAGCAGUCUGAAGCGAGAGAAACACCUCGUGGGACUUCACCUUCCGUUGCCAUCCACAUCUGUGGGAUUCAAAAUAAAUAUCACACUUUAAACACAUCCUGAAAGAGAGUAAUGGUCCUCGAAUCCACACCGUUUGCAGGAGCUGCUGCGCAGGGCUUCAAACGCAAUGUUUGUCCCCACUGGACAUUUGUAGUUCAUCCCGAGGCGACUGGCAGCCAUCUUCAUGUUGGUCGAGAAGCCUUCCCAGCUGCUGAGGAUGGAACCUUUUGAUGGUCAUCAAAGAAGUGAGAGUUCAGGGCGCCGAUGGAAUUUUUGAAAUGCGACACAGCCGACAGCUUUUCAGCCGAGUCUCCGUAAAGACGCGACUUUGCCACCCUGAUGAACCAACUGGAAAGAACAAAAGUGUUUGUCAAUACACACUUGCAAUCUCAGCACUGAAGGCCUGGUUCUGCACCUCCCGCAUGAAGGGCUCCAGCGACAGCAGACUUUGCAGGACCACGUUCAUGUAGCAGCUGUUGCCAAUGUUUGGCAGCCUGCAACACAACAGCAGUGUGAGAAUAGGCAUAAUGUCAUGUCAAGGAAAAGGUCAAAGGCCUUCCAGAGGGUCGACUGAGGGAGGACGGACAGUGCAACCUGCUGCUGCAGCGGCCUGUAGGAAGAGAAGAGACGGUGAGCAUCAUGGAGGGAAGGAUGGAAAUGGAAGAGCCGGGUGAACGGAGAAGAGGAAGACAAUGUUCCUGCAUGUGACGAAGAGGAAGUGCUUCAUGGAAAUAUCACACCGACACUCAGAGUUCACUUGAGUAUCGAAGCAGGUCAUGAGGAAAACAUCAAUGAAAAAGGAAGGUACCUGACCACCGGAGUGACUCGUCUCCCAGUACAGGUGAAGAGUUCCUAAAAACAAACAAACGGAGGAUUCACUGAUGGAUAAAAUACAGAGGAACAUUUUAACGAGACAAUAGCGAUGUGACUUACCGACGAAGAGUUCGGAAUCCAGAGCAUCUUGCUGCGUUGAAAGGCGAUGGCGAAGUUCGGACACGAAUAACCAGAUUUUCCACGACAAAUGAGAAACUAACCGUCAAUAAUUGCCCGGUCUUCUUUUAUUGGCACUUUAGUUGUCACGUGACGUACGAAUG